AGUCACAAGCAACUCCAGGACUAAUAGGACUAGAAUGAUAUGGACCAUAAUGAAACUAAGUGUAAAUAUGAGGACCAAAUUGGGAUCAAUUUCCAAAUACAUAGCAAUCCAACGGUGUGAAUAUAAAGCGUGGCCACAGCGAAGAGCGCUGACAGUGAGCGAAUUGACAAACAAUUCCUUGUUUCCAAAACUUAAUUGAUUGAAGAAUUAAUGGCAGGAGAAAACGCCAUGUUCAAGUUCUUGAGUCCCAGACUCCGCCUCCAAUCCACCGAUAUCCAAACUGCCGCCUUUUGGGGCGUCGCCGCCGGCACCACCGCUCUAUGGCUUGUCCAGCCAUUUGAUUGGAUUAAAAAGACCUUUUUCGAGAAAGCAAACACUGAAGAGAAGUGAAGAAGAAUCAACUUUGUGGUAACAGCUUUCUGAUUUCUUCUUUCAGGUUGCUGAGAAAAACCAUGAACAAAGUUGAUAUGAAUAAUGUUGUUUAAUUUUGCACUUUAUUGAUGAGUCCUUGUUGGCAUUAUUCAUGACAAUGAUUUGAGAAUUAAAAGCUUUUGUUUCUUGUUAUAU